rnacentral:rRNA from 1 species
UAACGAAUAUUGGGCAAUGGGCGCAAGCCUGACCCAGCAAUGCCGCGUGCAGGAGGAAGCCCCUCGGGGUGUAAACUGCUGUCAGGUCCUAGCAAGCAAGGCGCGUUAAUAGCGCGCUGCGUUGAGCAGGGCCAAAGGAAGCCUCGGCUAACUCUGUGCCAGCAGCCGCGGUAAGACAGAGGAGGCAAGCGUUGUUCGGAAUUACUGGGCUUAAAGAGCGUGUAGGCGGUUUGGUAAGUGUCCUGUGAAAGCCCACGGCUCAACCGUGGAAUUGCAGGGCAAACUGCCCGACUUGAGGUCAGUAGGGGUGCUCGGAACUCUAGGUGGAGCGGUGGAAUGCGUAGAUAUCUAGAGGAACGCCAGUGGCGAAAGCGGAGCACUGGGCUGACACUGACGCUGAGACGCGAAAGCGUGGGGAGCAAACAGGAUUAGAUACCCCCGUAGUCC